rnacentral:lncRNA from 1 species
AUGCCCAAGGCUCCUCUUGGGGUUCUCAGUUGUACCCAUAUGUGGUUCCCCACAGCCCCUGGAAAGGGUGACUCCCAAGUUCCAGCUCCUGGGAUCCAGGGUGCUGCGUGCAGGGGCUGGGAGAGGCCACCCUGGACUGGGCUCAGGCAUUGGGGUGGGGAGACUGGCAGACAGGCUGCCUCCCCCUUCCAGAGCCCAUGGGCUGCAAGAGGUGAUUCUGAGGCAACCUUUGACUCCUGCAGGGGGCAGGCUGUAGACCCAUCAUCAGCCCCAGAUCUGGAUGAAGCCAGGAGUGACCGAGACCCAAGGUGGAAGAGCCCUGCUACGCCUGCAGGGCCCACAUGCGGUUGCUUACAAGAGCUGAACCCCACCACCGGCAGUAGCUUUGGGGAUCUAGGAGGCUCUGAGUUCAAGGACUUGGCCCAGAGGGAAGAGAGGAGACAAGCAGCACCUACAACCCAGAGGCCAUCCACUAGCCUAUGGGGGAGGAAGCUCGCUCAGGGAGCCCCGAGGCCCUCAGGCCUGCCCUCCCAGGGCCUGUCAGAACCCCACGAUCCCCCCGAGGGGCUGAGCUGGAGCCUGGGCCAGGAGAGAGCAGAACUUCAGAAACUGCUGAGGCUAGGGAUUCCUCAGAGGCAGAGAGAGGAGGCUCCUCAAGAGCAGAAAGAGCGCCCCGGGGUUCAGAGGGGGGAGGUCCGCAGGGGGGAGAGCAAGGAAGUUCCUAAGAGACCCACAGAGAAGAUACAGCAGGGCCAGAGGGGGGAGGCUACUCAGGCUCUGAGGGAGGAAGUCUCUGUGGAUCCCAGGGGGCAGGCUCCCGAGGGUGAGAGGAGAGAGUCUCCUCAACGUCAAAGAGGAAACAGCCCUGAGGGGCAGAGAAAAGAGGUCCUCCGGGAGCCGAGGAAGGAGACUCCUCAGGGCCGGGAAGGGAAGAGCCCUCAAACUUCCCCAGCCUGCCUCUCACAAGCCUGGGAGGUGCCUCAGGGAGAGGCGCCUGCAGAGCCCCCGGCGGAAGGCGGCUCCCUGGGGAUUUCUGGGGAUUUCUGCAGGCCCCUGGGAGAACAGAUGCCGCAGCCUGGGGGAAGGGAGAGCCCUGGCUCCGGGGAAAGGACCACC